UCAAUAUGUUCUCUAACUGAGUACAUACAUAUGCUGAAAUUACUUAAAACUCAUUUGUCUUUUGCUUUUUGGAUUUUUAACACCUGCAUUUCAAUAUGUUCUCUGAUGGAAUUUCUUCUCACUUUGAUUUGGCAGAGUCGGUUCCUCCUUCCUUCACUGAAUUUUUGAUUUAUCUUUUCUUCUAUUGCCUUUGCAGAACAAUUAAGUUCGAGGAUCUUAGAGCCAAGAGUUGUCGGCUUCUAGAUUGCAAAAAUAUAUGGAACAAUAACUCUUCUCUUCAAAACUUUGAUGCCUCAAUUUGCUGAUAUCUUUGGAGGAUUAUCCGCUUGAAGAAUGAUAGCUGUUACAUAAUUGGCUAAAUUAAAGCUUUUGCUACUUAGACGCUCUAAAUUAGUAUAGUUGCUCUAAAUAUUAGUUUUUUCACUUUUUUGCCUUAUGAGUUUAUUGAGCUGAUGCUCAUUAGGUUUAUGUAUGAAACAAUUAUGGAUGUAUUUGCUGGCUAUAAUGACAGAAUGAAUAAUAUAUGCCUUUUGUGUA